rnacentral:rRNA from 1 species
UACGGGAGGCAGCAGUGGGGAAUAUUGCACAAUGGGCGCAAGCCUGAUGCAGCCAUGCCGCGUGUAUGAAGAAGGCCUUCGGGUUGUAAAGUACUUUCAGUCGUGAGGAAGGUGUUAAGGUUAAUAACCUUAGCAAUUGACGUUAGCGACAGAAGAAGCACCGGCUAACUCCGUGCCAGCAGCCGCGGUAAUACGGAGGGUGCGAGCGUUAAUCGGAAUUACUGGGCGUAAAGGGCACGCAGGCGGUUAAUUAAGUUGGAUGUGAAAUCCCCGGGCUUAACCUGGGAAUGGCAUUCAAGACUGGUUAGCUAGAGUCUUGUAGAGGGGGUAGAAUUCCAUGUGUAGCGGUGAAAUGCGUAGAGAUGUGGAGGAAUACCGGUGGCGAAGGCGGCCCCUGGGACAAAGGCUGACGCUCAUGUGCGAAAGCGUGGGGAGCAAACGAGGGAUUAGACUACC